GACGAACGCUGGCGGCGUGCUUAACACAUGCAAGUCGAACGGAAAGGCCUUUUCGGAGGUACUCGAGUGGCGAACGGGUGAGUAACACGUGGGUGAUCUGCCCUGCACUCUGGGAUAAGCCUGGGAAACUGGGUCUAAUACCGGAUAGGACCGCACUUUAGUGUGUGUGGUGGAAAGUUUUUUCGGUGUAGGAUGAGCCCGCGGCCUAUCAGCUUGUUGGUGGGGUAAUGGCCUACCAAGGCGGCGACGGGUAGCCGGACUGGGAGGUUGGUCGGCCACAUUGGGACUGGGAUACGGCCCAGACUCCUACGGGAGGCAGCAGUGGGGAAGAUUGCACAAUGGGCGCAAGCCUGAUGCAGCGACGCCGCGGGGGGGAUGACGGCCUUCGGGUUGUAAACUCCUUUCGCCAGGGACGAAGCGUUUUGUGACGGUACCUGGAGAAGAAGCACCGGCUAACUACGUG
rnacentral:rRNA from 1 species